GCCAGGUUGCCCGAGCGGCCAAAGGGAGCGGACUGUAAAUCCGCCGGUUUUUACCUACGUAGGUUCGAAUCCUUCACCUGGCA
rnacentral:tRNA from 1 species